GCCCGGUUAGCUCAAUCGGUAGAGCGUGAGACUCUUACUCACAGUUCAUCUCAAGGCUGCGGGUUCGACCCCCGCAUCGGGCU
rnacentral:tRNA from 1 species